AUGGCGCCGGAGACGAGGAGCGGGAGGGCGAGGGAGCCGCGCGCAUCGGAGACCGCGUCGCCGCCGCCGCCGGUGCAGCGCCCUCGGCUCACGCGCGCCGGAAGCAGGGGGGAUGCGCCGACCCGUGGCCGCUCGAGUCAGGUUAAUGAGAAUGCCAAGAGCAGAUUCCAGCAUUUGGCAAGUUCGGUACAAAAUGAUGUUAUGCAGUUAAAGGCGGCGACCGGAGAGGAUGAGGGAGGGCAAGGGAGGCAUGCGCGUCGGAGACCGCGUCUCCAAGACCUUGUUGCCGUCGUUCCGCGGAUGACGAGGAGGAGGGCAAGGGAGGCAUGCGCGUCGGAGACCGCGUCGCCGUCGUUGCAGCGCACUCGACUCACGCGCGGCGGAAGCAUGGGGGAGGCCCCGACCAGUGGCCGCUCCGGUAAGGUUAAUGAGGAUGUCAAGAGCAGAUUCCAGCAUUUCGCAAGUUCAGUACAAAAUGAUAUGCAGUUAAACAGAGCCAUGGAGGCAUCACUGGAUUAUAUGUCAGAUAUGUCUGGAAACGACUACGCUGCAGCCUCUUCUUCGCGGAUGAUAAACACGGGCGAUGAAGCCGUAGAACCGUUGUCACGUCAUGACGGUCCCAACACCUUGGGCACAUACAAGGAUGGGCAGGACAACUACACAUCCACUGGUCAUGAUGAGCCUGGUACCGCCACAAAUCCUGAAGAUGCGACCCAUCGCGACGAAGGGACCGGCCAAGGGGACCAGGCAGCUGGACAACCCAAAAGGCAACGCAAGCCUAGGCGCCGAAACAAGCUUGGCACCAAUAGGAUUGUUAUCAACCGAGUGUCUGAGGCGGGUCUACCUGUUAGUCCCAAGAAGGCCGAAGAAGGUUACAGGAAUGCCCUAGGCUGCAUCCUUCGCGAAACCGUGAGCAUUAAUGAAACCAAUCUCAGGUCGAAAGCGAACGGGAAUUUGCGAGCGCUCCUCAUAUCGAAGCUGCACACUCAUUACAAGUUCCCGGAUGAGUCCCUAGACGAGACCACUCCGGUAAAUAACAGAGCCCUCUGCAAGUGGUCCAAGCUUUUGAGUAGUUGGAAAUCCAAGGCCAAAAGCGAAUACCUUAAGAAAGAUUAUGAAACCGAGAUAAAAAAGAUCUGGCCUUCGGUUUCCGAGGAGGACUGGAACCUGUUCAAGCAGCACUGCGAGACCCCUGAAGUCAAGGAGAUGGAAAAAUGGGGAAAGGAUAUGUGGGCUAAGAGCAUUGGUAACCACACCCUUGGCAGCCGUGGUUACCCAGGGAAGAAGCCAAAGUGGGACAAGCAGGACACUGAGUUCGCUGCAGCAGGCAACUAUCCUGUCAUGGUGCCGGAGACGAGGAGUAGGAUGGUGCACGCAUCGGAGACCGCGUUGCCCUUGGCGCAGCGCCCUCGACUCACGCGCGCUGGAAGCAGGGUGGAUGCACCGACCAGUGGCCGCUCCGGUCAAGUUAAUGAGGAUGUUGAGAGCAGAUUCCAGCAUUUGGCAAGUUCAGUACAAAACGAUGUUAUGCAGUUAAAGGCGACGACCGGAGAGGACGAGGGAGGUGCGCUCACCCAAGACCUCGUUGCCGUUGUUCCACCGAUGACAAGGAGGAGGGCGAGGGAGGCAUGCGCAUCGGACACCGCAUUGCCGUCGUUGCAGCGCACUCGACUCACACGUGGCGGAAGCAGGGGGGAGGCGCUGACCAGUGGCCGCUCCGAUAUGUCUGGAAACGACUCCGCCGCAGCCUCUUCUUCACGGACGAUAAGCGCGGGCGAUGAGGCUGUAGAACCAUCCACUGUUCAUGAUGAGUCCGGCACCGCCACAAAUCCUGAAGAUGCGACCGAUCGCGACGAAGGGACCAGCCAAGGGGACCAGGCAGCUGGACAACCUAAAAAGCAACGCAAACCUAGACGCCCAAACAUGCUUGGCACCGAUAGGAUUGUUAUCAACCGAGUGUCUGAGGCGGGUCUACCUCUUAGUCCCAAGAAGGCCGAACAAGGUUACAGUAAUGGCCUAGGCUGCAUCCUUCGUGAAACCGUGAGCAUUAAUGAAACCAAUCUCAGGUCGAAAGCGAACGAGAAUUUGCGAGCACUCCUCCUAUCGAAGUUGCACACUCAUUACAAGUUCCCGGAUGAGUCCCUAGACGAGACCACUCCGGUAAAUAACAGAGCCCUCUGCAAGUGGACCAAGCUUUUGAGUAGUUGGAAAUCCAAAGCCAAAAGCGAAUACCUUGAGAAAGAUUACGAAACUGAGAUAAAAAAGAAGUGGCCUUCGGUUUCUGAGGAGGACUGGAACCUGUUCAAGCAGCACUGCGAGACCCCUGAAGUCAAGGAGAUGGAAAAAUGGGGGAAGGAAAUGCGGGCAAGGAACAUUGGUCACCACACCCUUGGAAGCCGUGGUUACCCAGGGAAGAAGCCGAAGUGGGACAAGCAGGACGCUGAGUUUGCUGCAGCGGGCAUACCAAACCCCUUCAAGGAAUUUGAAAACCCGCGUGAAAAUGAUUACAUCAGGGGCCGGUGCAAAUAUGAUGAAGAGACUAAGACAUGGGUCUUGGACGAGAAAACGGCGAAAGUCAAGGAACUCCUGAGGCAGUAUCAUGUGGAAUCUCAAAGCUCCCAGGAGUCAGAGUGCUCGGCAAGGUGGGACGACCCUCUGAACAGGUCGAUCAACGUGGUGCUCGGCAAGGACCCGAAAACGAGGCCGGCUUAUGGCCGUGUGAACGGCGUCGGGAUCAACGAAAAAUGGGACACACAUUAUCCCGAAGACCGCGAGGUUGCAAGGCAGAGAAGGAGAGCCGGGCGAGCUAGUUUCGAAUCCAGAUUGGCUGGAAUGAGAGAAGAGCUUAAAGAAGAAAUGAGAGAGGAAGUCGAGGUGAAAGCGAAAGCCAUGGCGACAGCCCAAGUCAUGGAAAUGUGGCCCGAUCUAGUUGAGGCCGUCAAGCGAAGUUUAGCAUCGGGGCAAACAGCGCCGCCAUCAUCCUCUGCCACGUUGGCGCCGGGCAAUGCCAUUUUGGAGAAAGAGCCGCGUCCUGGUGCAACAUCAUAG
rnacentral:rRNA from 1 species